UGGGGAAUAUUGGGCAAUGGGCGAAAGCCUGACCCAGCCAUGCCGCGUGGAUGAAGAAGGCCCUAGGGUUGUAAAAUCCUUUCACCGGUGAAGAUAAUGACGGUAACCGGAGAAGAAGCCCCGGCUAAUUCCGUGCCAGCAGCCGCGGUAAUACGGAAGGGGCUAGCGUUGUUCGGAAUUACUGGGCGUAAAGCGCGCGUAGGCGGCAUGCCAAGUUGGGGGUGAAAUCCCGGGGCUCAACCCCGGAACUGCCUCCAAAACUGGCAAGCUCGAGUUCGGGAGAGGAGCGUGGAAUUCCCAGUGUAGAGGUGAAAUUCGUAGAUAUUGGGAAGAACACCGGUGGCGAAGGCGGCGCUCUGGACCGACACUGACGCUGAGGCGCGAAAGCGUGGGGAGCAAACAGGAUUAGAUACCCCCGUAGUCC
rnacentral:rRNA from 1 species